UCAGGCAAGUCGUCCAAUUCACCCAAACAACACAUCAGCAAUUUGACCAGCUUAAAAGAAGACUUGGAUUAUAGACAGUGGCUAAAAAAAUUAUCACCAUCCACUAGAGAUAAAGAAACAAGUUUUGGAAGAAGCCAUCAAGUCCAAGCUACGUGAAGUGGAAGUUGUGGUAGUGGACGGUCUACACAGCGGUGCUUAUGUCGAGCAAAAUCAGACCGGGAUAAACCCAGCCAGGACAAGGCAGAAGAAUUUCUCGGACAGUCGUUCAUCUGAAAAUGAGUGUGAUGUACAGGAAUCAGCAAACCGUGACAAGCAUCAACUGACCAGUAGUAACUCAAGGAGCUGUUCCAGAACCAGUGCAAGCUAGUAAUUCUAGUGAUAGUAAUAAUAAUUUGUGCAAUUUAUUGUGGUGUAUACCCGGAACUUACGCAGUGAUAAUAGUGAUUCGGGUUUUUUGCGCGAGAAAGGAAAGUGAAAAACGCUGCUGGUGGACAGGAUUGUGCAAUAGUGGCGGAACAGAACGUCAAUGAAAGGCAUCUAAACCACAUCCCUACAGAGAACACCCGCAACGUUAUUGGCAGAACGGGAAAAGGAAGCGAUCGCGACACGGCUUGCAUAAUUAGAGGUGACGAUGACGGCCUUCUUUGUUCGUCUUCGCCGCUCAGCAGUAUGGAUUUUGACAACACUCCCAACUUAUUGCGCUUCCCUGACGAUCGUAGUGACUCUGGCGUGAGUUCUUUGCGCUCAGGAAGUGGGGAUGAGCGCUGUGGAUCCAGAUCCAGCGCGUUAAGUUUAUCUGACGACCCACCCAAUCCUCUAGCAGGACAAUCUUCUUGCAACUGCACCUCGUCAGUACAGUCCGCCACCCGUUCUUCAAUUUUCGUUCCGGCCGGCGUAUCGACCGCCGAGCCGGUGCGCGUCUGGCGCGAUCCAGGCCUGCUCCUUCAGGUACGAGUAAGUUGUUGCUUAAGAGCCCUUUAGAAGAGGAUACAGUUGCCCGCUGAUUCGUGGCAGACCGAAAUCGCCGACUUGUAGCAAG
rnacentral:lncRNA from 1 species